CCUACGGGAGGCAGCAGUGAGGAAUAUUGGUCAAUGGGCUUACGCCUGAACCAGCCAAGUCGCGUGAGGGAAGACUGCCCUAUGGGUUGUAAACCUCUUUUGUCAGGGAGCAACGCCGGCUACGUGUAGCCGGACUGAGAGUACCUGAAGAAAAAGCAUCGCCUAACCCCUUGCCAGCAGCCGCGGUAAUACGGAGGAUGCGAGCGUUAUCAGGAUUUUUUGGGUUUAAAGGGUGCGUAGGCGGAAUGCCAAGUCAGCGGUAAAAUCGCGGGGCUCAACCUCGCUACGCCGUUGAAACUGGCGUUCUUGAGUGGGCGAGAAGUAUGCGGAAUGCGUGGUGUAGCGGUGAAAUGCAUAGAUAUCACGCAGAACUCCGAUUGCGAAGGCAGCAUACCGGCGCCCAACUGACGCUGAAGCACGAAAGUGCGGGGAUCGAACAGGAUUAGAUACCCGGGUAGUC
rnacentral:rRNA from 1 species